AAUACCUUACUCUGACAUUCUUCAUCUCGUUAAUUAGUACCGUGCUCUGUAAAUGCCUCAUAGGUUUUAAAGCCAUAAAGGACCAUCAGGCUACACCUAAAAAGUUCACCACAGGGUUCCAUCACUUCUCUUUAUAAGUUGUCCAAAUAGAUUAUUAUGUCUAUUGUUAAAAGUUAAGUAAUUUUUGCCAUCUUUCAAAAUCAGACAUUUGGAUCAGAUACAUCCAAAAUCUUUUCCCCAAAUAUGUUCUUGUAGAGCAUGAUCAAGAUAAAUAUUCUGAGGCUCUUUAUUGUCCCUCUGACUUAGAUUCAUAACAAGAGGACUAAGCUUGAGUGGAUGUUAGGCAAAUAAAAUUUGAAGUUUUAUGUAAUCUUCUUGAGGUGUUGGAUUCCAGUGAUGUUCUAUGGUGUUCUUGAGAGAAUAACAAUUUCUGUGCCUCCAUUUUGCCAUUUUCGUAAUGGGAAUAGUAUUUACAGGAAUGUUUUGAAGUUUAGUUAAUGUCUCUGAAAUUCUUUCAGACAGGCACAAGACAAGAUACACACAAACUUCCACAAGAGGUAUAUAAAUGUAUGCAAAUGUAGCUAAUGAAGCAAAAGGAAGAGGGCUAAAUGGUGCCUUAAUAGUUUCUCCUUAAAAACCUAUUUUGAAAAGGAAUAUUUUGCCAUGUCUCUUGAUUAUGAGUCUUACAUUUUUUAAUAAUCUCUUCUAGCGUGCUGGGACCAGCUGUGACCUUCAGAGUGCACUCAAACCUCCAAAACAUUUCAACAGCAGAUAUUGCCAAAGCAGCAGCCCUGAACAAAGAGAAGCUUGAGAAAACAACUGGACUGAGAAUUUUGCAGACUGGCGUGGGGGAGGUAAGUGGCUUGGGGGCAUUUUACACUCUCAAAAACAUUUUAAUUGUUGUGUUUUUUGUAUGAAAUCCUGGAGCUCAUGAACGUUUGUGAACUACCAGUCUGAUAGUGCUAAGGGCCUUUUUAUGAUACAGUUGCAUCUGUCAAAAUACAAUCUGCUGCACAAAUAGCACUGUAUCCCACAGAGAAAAAAAUACCAUCCUUACGAGGAAAGUGCAGCCGGCUUUAAGAAAUGCAUUUUUUUGCUUUGUCGUAUCACAGGAACAAAAUCCCCAAAGAUGAGCACAGCAACUGAAGUCGUUGUAUUAUUCCCCUUGGUUUAGUUGGAGUGGUAGCUCAUCUAGAUCAACAAAAGUUUAAAUUUGGGGUAAAGGCUCUUCAGCUGUUAGAGAGAAUCUGUCAGUGAAUGAUUUGGUUAUUUUGGAUGCAACUUGAAACAUAAAUAAAACGUGUCUGUUAUUAUGAUGAUAUCA
rnacentral:lncRNA from 1 species